rnacentral:rRNA from 1 species
AAAUUGAAGAGUUUGAUCAUGGCUCAGAUUGAACGCUGGCGGCAGGCCUAACACAUGCAAGUCGAACGGUAACAA